rnacentral:rRNA from 1 species
ACGUAGGGUGCGAGCGUUGUCCGGAAUUAUUGGGCGUAAAGGGCUCGUAGGCGGUCUGUUACGUCGGGAGUGAAAACCCAGGGCUCAACCCUGGGCCUGCUUCCGAUACGGGCAGACUAGAGGUAUGCAGGGGAGAAUGGAAUUCCUGGUGUAGCGGUGAAAUACGCAGAUAUCAGGAGGAACACCGGUGGCGAAGGCGGUUCUCUGGGCAUUACCUGACGCUGAGGAGCGAAAGUGUGGGGAGCGAACAGGA